rnacentral:rRNA from 1 species
GAUGGGCAUGCGUCCCAUUAGGAAGCUGGCGGGGUAACGGCCCACCAGUCCGACGAUGGGUAGGGGUUCUGAGAGGAAGGUCCCCCACAUUGGAACUGAGACACGGUCCAGACUCCUACGGGAGGCAGCAGUAGGGAAUCUUCCGCAAUGGGCGAAAGCCUGACGGAGCAACGCCGCGUGAGUGAUGAAGGGUUUCGGCUCGUAAAACUCUGUUAUUAGGGAAGAACAAACGUGUAAGUAACUGUGCACGUCUUGACGGUACCUAAUCAGAAAGCCACGGCUAACUACGUGCCAGCAGCCGCGGUAAUACGUAGGUGGCAAGCGUUAUCCGGAAUUAUUGGGCGUAAAGCGCGCGUAGGCGGUUUCUUAAGUCUGAUGUGAAAGCCCACGGCUCAACCGUGGAGGGUCAUUGGAAACUGGGAAACUUGAGUGCAGAAGAGGAAAGUGGAAUUCCAUGUGUAGCGGUGAAAUGCGCAGAGAUAUGGAGGAACACCAGUGGCGAAGGCGACUUUCUGGUCUGUAACUGACGCUGAUGUGCGAAAGCGUGGGGAUCAAACAGGAUUAGAUACCCUGGUAGUCCACGCCGUAAACGAUGAGUGCUAAGUGUUAGGGGGUUUCCGCCCCUUAGGGCUGCAGGUGACACAUUUAAGCACUCAGCGUGGGGAGUACGACCGCAAGGUUGAAACUCAAAGGAAUUAACGGGGGGCGGGGCGAGCGGUGGAGCAUGUGGUUAAAUUAGAAGCAACGCGAAGAACCUUACCAAAUCUUGACAUCCUUUGAAAACUCUAGAGAUAGAGCCUUCCCCUUCGGGGGACAAAGUGACAGGUGGUGGGGGGGAGUGGUCAGCUCGUGUCGUGAGAUGUUGGGUUAAGUCCCGCGACGAGCGCAACCCUUAAGCUUAGUUGCCAUCAUUAAGUUGGGCACUCUAGGUUGACUGCCGGUGACAAACCGGAGGAAGGUGGGGAUGACGUCAAAUCAUCAUGCCCCUUAUGAUUUGGGCUACACACGUGCUACAAUGGACAAUACAAAGGGCAGCUAAACCGCGAGGUCAUGCAAAUCCCAUAAAGUUGUUCUCAGUUCGGAUUGUAGUCUGCAACUCGACUACAUGAAGCUGGAAUAAAUAGUAAUCGUAGAUCAGCAUGCUACGGUGA